UUUGACAAGACUGCAGUACUACCUUCUCUGACAGGAGGCGCUACAUACCAGGUGACACAGCAGCGGCCCUAAUCCCUGCCCAGUCUGCACAGAGACCUUGGCUUACUCAGAGGACUGAUGCCAUCUCUCCACGGGGUCCUGACUAAGAUAGAAGAGACCUCUAGUAGCUCAUUGAGGUACUGCAGAUGAGGCAUCUUGAUGCAUACCCAGAGUAAACAAUUGAUUGUGAGCGAGGUG